UCCCAUAGCCAUACCACUCUGAAUGCAGCCAAUGUCAGCCGACCCUGGAAGCGACACAGGGUGUGGCUAGUUACAACCUGCCAGCUGUUCCUCGGUUCGAAACCCUCAGGGCCAGGCAGGUGUGGUGG
rnacentral:rRNA from 14 species